GCGGUAAUACGGGAGUGGCAAGCGUUAUCCGGAAUUAUUGGGCGUAAAGCGUCCGCAGGCGGUUUURCAAGUCUGUUGUUAAARCGUGGAGCUCAACUCCAUUUCDGCRAUGGAAACUGUAAGACUAGAGUGUGGUAGGGGCAGAGGGAAUUCCCGGUGUAGCGGUGAAAUGCGUAGAUAUCGGGAAGAACACCAGUGGCGAAGGCGCUCUGCUGGGCCAUAACUGACGCUCAUGGACGAAAGCYAGGGGAGCGAAAGGGAUUAGAUACCCCUGUAGUCCUAGCCGUAAACGAUGAACACUAGGUGUCGGGGGAAUCGACCCCCUCGGUGUCGUAGCCAACGCGUUAAGUGUUCCGCCUGGGGAGUACGCACGCAAGUGUGAAACUCAAAGG
rnacentral:rRNA from 1 species